rnacentral:rRNA from 1 species
UACGAAGGUGGCAAGCGUUACUCGGAAUUACUAGGCGUAAAGGGCAGGUAGGUGGUUUGGUUAGUCUGUUGUGAAAAGCUCCUUGCUCAACGGGGAGAGGUCAACAGAUACUGCCAGACUUGAGUAUAGGAGAGGGUACUGGAAUUCCUGGUGUAGCGGUGAAAUGCGCAGAGAUCAGGAGGAACACCGAUGGCGAAAGCAGGUACCUGGACUAUUACUGACACUCAGCUGCGAAAGCUAGGGGAGCAAACAGG